UGUGUUCGCAGUCCCCCGACUCCAGCUCUGUUUCCCCCUCCCCCAAGCACUGAUCUGGGCCCCAGUCCGGCAGGAAGCCGGACGGGUGCAGCAGAGCAGGGGAAGGAUCACGACCCCCCGCCCUCAUCCGCUCCCCCUCCCCUUACCUUGUUGCGACGCAGCAGCAACAGCUCUAGAAAACCUCUGAAUGAUGCCGAGGACAAGCAGCGCGAUCCGGAUAUGAUGAUACCAUGUGGUCACCAGCCUUUCCUCCCCUCUGGCAGGGCUCCUAACAUAGCCAACAAGAAACUCAACCGAUGUAGAUUUCCUGUCAGCAUGGAGGGAUGGAGCCAUUCAGGAGCAGUGAUUCUAAAGUACCUGCUUACUUUUGAACUCUGCCACAAUGGGCAGAAAGUAUUAUCAAAAGAAAAAAAUAAACAAAUUGUAUCAAUAUUGCAACACCA